rnacentral:rRNA from 1 species
UAGGGAAUCUUCCACAAUGGACGAAAGUCUGAUGGAGCAACGCCGCGUGAGUGAAGAAGGGUUUCGGCUCGUAAAGCUCUGUUGUUAAAGAAGAACGUGGGUAAGAGUAACUGUUUACCCAGUGACGGUAUUUAACCAGAAAGCCACGGCUAACUACGUGCCUAG